GCCUCAAUGGUACAGUAGUUUGCUAAACUAUUAUUAGCUCGUGGGUUCAAAUCCCACUUUGGCU
rfam:Phytophthora infestans T30-4 supercont1.48 genomic scaffold, whole genome shotgun sequence.